GGGAUUGUGACUCAGUGGCAGAGUGCUUGCCUAGCAUGUGUGAGGCACUGGGUUCAAUUCUCAGCAUCCCA
rnacentral:tRNA from 1 species